rnacentral:rRNA from 1 species
AUUGAACGCUGGCGGCAUGCCUUACACAUGCAAGUCGAACGGCAGCGCGGGAGCAAUCCUGGCGGCGAGUGGCGAACGGGUGAGUAAUACAUCGGAACGUGCCCAAUCGUGGGGGAUAACGCAGCGAAAGCUGUGCUAAUACCGCAUACGAUCUACGGAUGAAAGCAGGGGAUCGCAAGACCUUGCGCGAAUGGAGCGGCCGAUGGCAGAUUAGGUAGUUGGUGAGGUAAAGGCUCACCAAGCCUUCGAUCUGUAGCUGGUCUGAGAGGACGACCAGCCACACUGGGACUGAGACACGGCCCAGACUCCUACGGGAGGCAGCAGUGGGGAAUUUUGGACAAUGGGCGAAAGCCUGAUCCAGCCAUGCCGCGUGCAGGAUGAAGGCCUGCGGGUUGUAAACUGCUUUUGUACGGAACGAAACGGUCUUUUCUAAUAAAGAAGGCUAAUGACGGUACCGUAAGAAUAAGCACCGGCUAACUACGU